rnacentral:rRNA from 1 species
UACGUAGGGUGCAAGCGUUGUCCGGAAUUAUUGGGCGUAAAGAGCUCGUAGGCGGUCUGUCGCGUCGGAUGUGAAAAUCCAGGGCUCAACCCUGGACCUGCAUUCGAUACGGGCAGACUAGAGUUCGGUAGGGGAGACUGGAAUUCCUGGUGUAGCGGUGGAAUGCGCAGAUAUCAGGAGGAACACCAAUAGCGAAGGCAGCUCGCUGGGACGGUACUGACGCUAAGGCGCGAAAGCGUGGGGAGCGAACAGG